GGCCUGGUGGUGUAGUGGUAGCACAUUCUCCAUCAUAACGCGCUUCCGAGCAACGAACUUGGAUGAGAUGUCGAGGUUGGAAAUGGCGUGGGUUCAAAUCCCACCCGGGCUA